rnacentral:rRNA from 1 species
UACGGGGGGGGCAAGCGUUGUUCGGAAUUACUGGGCGUAAAGGGCUCGUAGGUGGCCAACUAAGUCAGACGUGAAAUCCCUCGGCUUAACCGGGGAACUGCGUCUGAUACUGGAUGGCUUGAGAUUGGGAGAGGGAUGCGGAAUUCCAGGUGUAGCGGUGAAAUGCGUAGAUAUCGAGAGGAACACCUGCGGCGAAGGCGGGUCUCUGGGCCGUAACU